GAUUUAUUAGAACUAUAAGACCAGAGGAUAUAAAUAAUGAUAAAACUCCUGAAGACAAUUUUGAAGCUUUCACUGGAAAGGGAUUUACUUUACGGAAAGGAAAAAUUAGAGAUUGAAUUCGGAAGCAGCACCCAGAAAAUUACUUCUGUAAUAUACUUGUAUUUAUAAACCCUUAUUAAAUUAACUCCAUUUU